AUCACAGUUACAAGGAAAAAAAGGAAAAAAAAAAAAGGUUUUGGUUGGGCGCCCACACUUGAUUUGUUUUUGGUCGUGCUUACUGUAUUUUUUUCUCUCUGUUUUUCGCAAGCUUUUUUUCAUCUUAU
rnacentral:ribozyme from 14 species